rnacentral:rRNA from 1 species
CCCGAAAGAUCGAAUGAGGAGAUUCAUCGUCAGUGUAGUCAGUUUUCAUGCGUUUCGCGAUGGCACGCAUUCGCUGUGGUAUGUCUGAUUACGUCGGCGUGCACUUCUCCUCUAGUAGAACGUUGCGACCCGCUAGAUGUUAGCCUAAGAGCCAGGAUGUUGACUGUUUCGUUCGUUUCGGCGUUUGUGAACAGACACUUGGUUUCUAGCUAACUGUUUGGCGGUAUUCUAAGGUANUGAGCCGCACUUGAAUGCGUUCAGACUUGUCACAAGCUNGACCAUCAAAUAACCUAGAAGGCGGACCUGGUGCCGUCCCUGGGAGUGGUUGACUGUUGGUUGACAAUGUUCUCGAACUGGCUAAAUACCGGUCAGCGACGCUNUUGCUUUGGGUACUUUCAGGACCCGUCUUGAAACACGGACCAAGGAGUCUAACAUGUGCGCAAGUCAUUGGGAUAUUUAAACCUAAAGGCGCAUUGAAAGAAAAGAUCGGCCUUGUGUCGGUUGAGGGAGGAUGGGCAAUGUUUAGAUAUUGCUUCGCACUCCCGGGGUGUCUUAAAGUCAUUGCGACUUGAGGCGCACCUAGAGCGUACACGUUGGGACCCGAAAGAUGGUGAACUAUGCCUGGUCAGGAUG